rnacentral:tRNA from 1 species
GAGCCAUUAGCUCAGUUGGUAGAGCAUCUGACUUUUAAUCAGAGGG